rnacentral:rRNA from 1 species
AUUGAACGCUGGCGGCAGGCCUAACACAUGCAAGUCGAGCGGAUGAAGGGAGCUUGCUCCUGGAUUCAGCGGCGGACGGGUGAGUAAUGCCUAGGAAUCUGCCUGGUAGUGGGGGAUAACGUCCGGAAACGGGCGCUAAUACCGCAUACGUCCUGAGGUAGAAAGUGGGUGAUCUUCGGACCUCACGCUAUCAGAUGAGCCUAGGUCGGAUUAGCUAGUUGGUGGGGUAAAGGCCUACCCAGGCGACGAUCCGUAACUGGUCUGAGAGGAUGAUCAGUCACACUGGAACAGAGACACGGCCCAGACUCCUACGGGAGGCAGCAGUGGGGAAUAUUGGACGAUGGGCGAAUGCCUGAUCCAGCACUGCCGCGUGUGUGAAGAAGGUCUUCGGAUUGUAAAGCACUUUAAGUUGGGAGGAAGGGCAGUAAGUUAAUACCUUGCUGUUUUGACGUUACCAACAGAAUAAGCACCGGCUAACUUCGUG